UCCCAUGAGGCUCAGUUGGUAGAGCAUGGCGCUUGCAAUGCCAGGGUUGUGGGUUCGACGUCCACAUUGCGAC
rnacentral:tRNA from 1 species